rnacentral:sRNA from 1 species
UACGAGUAAGCUCUGCCCGUCGUUGUGA